UUGUAGUCAUAUGCUGUCUCAAAGAUAAGCCAUGCAUGUUAAGUAUAAGCACUUAUACCGUGAAACUGCGAAUGGCUCAUUAAAUCAGUUAUCGUUUAUUUGAUAGUACCUUACUACUUGGAUAACCGUGGUAAUUCUAGAGCUAAUACAUGCUAAAAACCCCGACUUCGGGAGGGGUGUAUUUAUUAGAUAAAAAACCAAUGCCCUUCGGGGCUCUUUGGUGAUUCAUGAUAACUUAACGGAUCGCAUGGCCUUGCGCCGGCGACGGUUCAUUCAAAUUUCUGCCCUAUCAACUUUCGAUGGUAAGGUAUUGGCUUACCAUGGUUUCAACGGGUAACGGGGAAUUAGGGUUCGAUUCCGGAGAGGGAGCCUGAGAAACGGCUACCACAUCCAAGGAAGGCAGCAGGCGCGCAAAUUACCCAAUCCCGACACGGGGAGGUAGUGACAAUAAAUACUGAUACAGGGCUCUUUUGGGUCUUGUAAUCGGAAUGAGUACAAUUUAAACCCCUUAACGAGGAACAAUUGGAGGGUUCAAGUCUGGUGCCAGCAGCCGCGGUAAUUCCAGCGUCCAAUAGCGUAUAUUAAAGUUUGUUGCAGUUAAAAAGCUCGUAGUUGAACCUUGGGCCUGGCUGGCCGGUCCGCCUCACCGCGUGUACUGGUCCGGCCGGGCCUUUCCUUCUGGAGAUCCCCAUGCCCUUCACUGGGUGUGCGGGGGGAACCAGGACUUUUACUUUGAAAAAAUUAGAGUGUUCAAAGCAGGCCUUUGCUCGAAUACGUUAGCAUGGAAUAAUAGAAUAGGACGUGCGGUCCUAUUUUGUUGGUUUCUAGGACCGCCGUAAUGAUUAAUAGGGAUAGUCGGGGGCAUCAGUAUUCAAUUGUCAGAGGUGAAAUUCUUGGAUUUAUUGAAGACUAACUACUGCGAAAGCAUUUGCCAAGGAUGUUUUCAUUAAUCAGUGAACGAAAGUUAGGGGAUCGAAGACGAUCAGAUACCGUCGUAGUCUUAACCGUAAACUAUGCCGACUAGGGAUCGGGCGAUGUUUCUUUCUUGACUCGCUCGGCACCUUACGAGAAAUCAAAGUUUUUGGGUUCUGGGGGGAGUAUGGUCGCAAGGCUGAAACUUAAAGAAAUUGACGGGAAGGGCACCACCAGGCGUGGAGCCUGCGGCUUAAUUUGACUCAACACGGGGAAACUCACCAGGUCCAGAUGAAAUAAGGAUUGACAGAUUGAGAGCUCUUUCUUGAUUUUUCAGGUGGUGGUGCAUGGCCGUUCUUAGUUGGUGGAGAUUUGUCUGCUUAAUUCCGAUAACGAAACGAGACCUUAACCUGCUAAAUAGCCAGGCUAGCUUUGGCUGGUCGCCGGCUUCUUAAAGGGACUAUCGGCUCAAGCCGAUGGAAGUUUGAGGCAAUAACAGGUCUGUGAUGCCCUUAAAUGUUCUGGGCCGCACGCGCGCUACACUGACAGAGCCAACGAGUUCAUCACCUUGGCCGAAAGGUCUGGGUAAUCUUGUUAAACUCUGUCGUGCUGGGGAUAGAGCAUUGCAAUUAUUGCUCUUCAACGAGGAAUGCCUAGUAAGCGCGUGUCAUCAGCACGCGUUGAUUACGUCCCUGCCCUUUGUACACACCGCCCGUCGCUACUACCGAUUGAAUGGCUCAGUGAGGCCUUCGGACUGGCCUGGGGAGGUUGGCAACACCACCCCGGGCCGGAAAGUUCGUCAAACUCGGUCAUUUAAAGGAAUAAAGAAUGGCGUAAAAGUUCCGAGGGGAAACCUCGGCGAAAA
rnacentral:rRNA from 1 species